rnacentral:rRNA from 1 species
AACAGCCGGGGCAGGUAGUGACAAUAAAUAACAAUACGGUUUCCUUUGGUCUUGUAAUCGGAAUGAGUACAAUCUAAAUCCCUUAACGAGGAUCAAUUGGAGGGCAAGUCUGGUGCCAGCAGCCGCGGUAAUUCCAGCUCCAAUAGCGUAUAUUNAUGUUGUUGCAGUUAAAAAGCUCGUAGUUGGAUUUCUGACAGGAGCGACCGGUCCGCGCCUCUGGUUCGAGUACUUUGUGUUGUCUCUAGUCAUCCUUAUGGAAAACGUGCAUGUUAUUAAUUUAGCGUGUUCGGGAUCCAUAUCGUUUACUGUGAAAAAAUUAGAGUGUUUAAAGCAGGCAAUCGCUGUGAAUACAUUAGCAUGGAAUAAUAAGAUAGGACUUUGGUACUAUUUUGUUGGUUUGCAUACCAAGGUAAUGAUUAAGAGGGACAGUUGGGGGUAUUCGUAUUUAAUUGUCAGAGGUGAAAUUCUUGGAUUUAUGAAAGACGAACUACUGCGAAAGCAUUUACCAAGGAUGUUUUCAUUAAUCAAGAACGAAAGUUAGGGGAUCGAAGAUGAUUAGAUACCAUCGUAGUCUUAACCAUAAACUAUGCCGACUAGGGAUUGGCGAUCGUUAUUUAUACGACUUCGUCAGCACCUUAUGAGAAAUCAAAGUCUUUGGGUUCCGGGGGGAGUAUGGUCGCAAGGCUGAAACUUAAAGGAAUUGACGGAAGGGCACCACCCGGAGUUGGAGCCUGCUGCUUUAUUUUGACUCACACCGGGAAAACUUCCAGGUCCUG